GACGAACGCUGGCGGCGUGCUUAACACAUGCAAGUCGAACGGAAAGGCCCCUUUGGGGGUACUCGAGUGGCGAACGGGGGAGUAACACGUGAGUAACCUGCCCUUGACUUCGGGAUAACUUCAGGAAACUGGGGCUAAUACCGGAUAGGAAUCCUUGCUGCAUGGUGGGGGUUGGAAAGCUUCGGCGGUUUUGGAUGGACUCGCGGCUUAUCAGCUUGUUGGUGGGGUAGUGGCUUACCAAGGCUUUGACGGGUAGCCGGCCUGAGAGGGCGACCGGCCACCUUGGGACUGAGAUACGGCCCAGACUCCUACGGGAGGCAGCAGUGGGGAAUAUUGCACGAUGGGCGGCAGCCUGAUGCAGCAACGCCGCGUGCGGGAUGACGGCCUUCGGGUUGUAAACCGCUUUCAGCAGGGGCGAAGCUUGUGGUGACGGUACCUGCAGAAGAAGCACCGGCUAACUACGUG
rnacentral:rRNA from 1 species